UUAGAAGAGGCCCAAAGUAAACGGCAAGAAAAACUUGUAGAGAAACACAAGGAGAUACGUCAACAGAUCCUGGACGAAAAGCCCAAGCUGCAGAUGGACCUGGAGCAAGAGUACCAAGACAAGUUCAAAAGACUGCCCCUGGAGAUCUUGGAGUUCGUGCAGGAAGCCAUGAAAGGGAAGAUCAGCGAAGACAGCAAUCACAGUUCUGCCCCUCCCUCCCUGGCCUCAGAGCCUGGAAAAAUGAACCACAAGCCUCCCUCCAGUGAGGAGCUAGAAGGAGACAACCCAGGAAAAGAGUUUGAUACUCCUCUGUGAUUGUUCCUGCCAGGCCUUCAAAGCAUGCAUGGCCACUUCAUCAGACUCUCUCUUACUACAAAAAUCACUGCCCAGGAGCAUCUUCCUGAGAAGCAUCCCUUAGCCUAAAAUCCACACCAAAGGGAGAGUUCUAGAAGGAUCCAUGCAAACAUCCUCAUGCCCAGGCUCCAUGUGUUAUGUGGACACUACUGCAGGUCUGCUUGCGGAGAGUGCAUGUAUGUGGGAUUUUUGUUUUCUUUCCAAUAGUAAAUUCAAAGCAGGCAACUUCCAGGCUCCAUGGGACAUUUAAUGAAGGACAGUGUCUUUUUUGAAGAAAAUCAAGCUCAUGUUUUUAUUUGAAGCUCUGGUGUAAAGUAUUUCAAAGUAAUAGAAAUAGUUUGAGAAAUGCAUAGUAUUAUUUAACACUAUCAAACAGCCAACUUUGAGCAUUCAUUUUCCUAACUGCCCCUCAACUAUCAUAUUUUCAAGUUAACGUGCAUAUUAAAUUGUUUUAUCCUUUGCUUUGCAAGCACAGGUGGCUUGAGGUUUGCUAAUUUAUUUAUCAUAGAGGCAUCAAUGUAUUUGUUGCUGACAUGGCUUUAUUAGGUACCAUAGUGAUUCGACUAAGUUGGUUUUCUUUCUUGAAAAAAAGUCACUUGAUUGUAUCCUUGCCCAGUGAAGCUAUCCCAAGACUUAGCAAUAUGGCUCAUAACAUUUGGUUGCUUGAGCAAAUUGGCCACACACUUCCAGGCCCACUGUGCUUUCUGAGUUGACUAUUUGCACUCAAAGUCUGGGUAUUCAUUGGUUGUUGGCCUGAAAUUAUUAAAUAACUACGAAGAGUCUGUCUGGUUGAAUAAAAAUAGUUAAGCUGAUGGAUGUUGAGCAGAGAUUCAAUCAGAGUGAACAGGUUCCAGUGGUUAUUUCGCUGUCUCACAUUUUUUAUGGUUCAUUUAUUUUUACUAUAGAGAUAAAGAUUGAAUAUUUAUCUAGAGAAUACACAGACCCACAUAUAAAUGAUAUAUAGUAUCCCCAUGUAUAUAUGCACACACACAGCCAUGUAAGUGUAUACACACUCACACACACACACACACGUGCGCACAUACAAGUGUAGAUGUGUGUUUUUUAAUUGGCAAUGACCCAAGUCUCUUCCACAAGACUUAAAACCAAAUUCAGGGAUAAAUGCCUAGAGAAGAAAAUGGUCAAACAUCUAUCUAUAUUAUGUGGCUAUUAAAUUAUGUUGAAAUUCUAAGAAACAGUUGAUGGAACUUGAUGCAAGUUGAGGUAGAUUUAGAGCUUAGAAUAUGAAUUUGAUAUAUAUUUUGCAGGAUCAAAAACUGGAUUUUAAGUAUCAGAUUUUAAGCUUGUUUUAAUAGAAUAUACAAAAAAUGUAUAGGACAGCAAUAUGGAAAUUUAUUAGUAUCUUUCAUAAUUUUUAAGUCUGACAGAUUUCGAUUUUAUUCUAACAUAAAAAAAUCUUUCAUUAUAUAUUUACUAUGUACAUUUAAUUCACUUAACUAUGUCUUUUUGUUAAGUUUCUAUGUUGGGUGGUGUAAGAAAAACAAAUUAUAUCAUGGGAAAACUGAUCAAAAAUAUUAUUGAAAGAACUUAAGUAAGAGAGAAUAAUUAUAUAGAGGACAAUAUAAUUUAGAGAGUAACACAAAGAACAUUGAAGUUAAAGAGCUGAAGAAAGAUGCUCAUAGCUUUAUUUUCCUUUAAAAUAAACCUGUCUGAUUGUAGCUUAGCGAAACGUCUUAAAAUGCAAAAACCGGUUGUGUCCUGAAAAUUGUGUUUCAAGAAUUUAAUAUUUUUAUGCAAAUUAUUUUAUUUAACUUUAAGCAAUAACUAGGGAUCACAAUUAUGUUUUAAUCAAAACGAAGGCUUAGUUCAAACAUGAGGCAAGAGUGUUUGAUUAAAAAAAAAACACACACAUCAAGCAAGACUCAAGAGGAAAAAAUCCCAUCCUCUUUGGAGAUGAUUAUAUUUUGAUCUGAAGGAUUUGGGGUAUUAAUUAGACACUUAAUAAAACAUAUCUUCCACUGAAAGAUAAAUCUUUUGUAAAUCAUUCAACUUUUGCACUUUGAAAGAAAGGCAUUAAUCGUAAGGAAGCAAGAAUGGGCACAAUUGAAUGCUGCAUUUUUAUAAAUAAAAUAACAGACUGUCUAACAUUGCAGAAGAAUGAACUAAUAAUAGCAUUCAUAACCAAACACAACGAUGAUUAUUACAGAACACUGUCUCACAUUUUAGUCCAGAGAUAGACAGAAGUGGAAAAACCUUGACUUACACAAAACUGUUUUUGGUAGUUGGAUUUCAUGCUCUUAGUGACUCUAGUCAUUUUGCAAUACAUUUGUAUUUGGCCAUUUACUGUAAUCACAUUUUUAUAUCUGUACAAUGACACUUUUUGCAGUUGUGGGGUAGUGUGUUACACUGUCCAUCUUGCAUCAUUGAACCUACUACAGCGAUACUAUCAUUUAACAAUAUUAAGAUUACUUGAAAUAGAGUAAGAUAAAGAAAAAGGGUCUAUAUGAUGUGCAGUUUUGUGCCUUUAUGUAUUUGCCUUGUUCUGUGUUGAAUGUGUGAAAUUCUGUACUGUGGAUUUCCCUGUAAUAGAGCGUUAGAGCUGUGUAGUAAAUUAGACAGAGCCCCCCCCUCCAAUACCCUUACAUUACUGAGAAUAGCGUGGUUUUGGCCGUGAACACCAAUUUUCAAAAUUCUAAUGACAUGCCGUGUGUUUUUGGUUUUCAGCAUUUCACUUGAACAUUUCAACCUCACCAUACAUUGAUUAAUGCUCCUGUAAUAGAUAAGCAGUCAUUAAAUAAUUCUGAAAGAAAGGGCCGUUGCUUGCGUUACUUUGAAUUUAAUGUUGCGCUUGUGCACUGUAUAAAUAUUGUUUGUGAUGGAUUGGACCUCGUGACUUUUGCCUUUUCAGAAGAAAAAUAAAAGAUAGGACAAAGUAUUUGAAACUCUUAAAGUGUACAUAUUUUGGUUCUUCGAUCUCAAAUUAUUUAAAAUGCGUAAUUCACAUUUUUGUAAUAAUUCUAUGCAAUUUUGUGGCAUGAUGUUUCUUCCACUUGUAAUUUUAUGUGCUUUCAUCACGAUUCCAAAGGAAACAAUAAAAAUUUCUUAACACAA